GCGGGUCCCCGCAUGGCAGUCCCUCAGACUACGAAUCUGAGGGGCGGACGUUCGAAUCGUUCCGGGCGCGCCA
rnacentral:tRNA from 1 species